GGCACCAAAGUCAGAUUCUGGGAAGACACCUGGUUUGGUACCUCUCCUCUGGCUGUUCAAUUCUGGCCUAUUUACUCCAUCUGCAAUGAGCAAACUAAGAGUGUUAGUGAGGUUUGGGCUGGGCAUCAGCUCAAGCUGACUUUUAGGAGAAAUUUUGAUGACAUUCUUAUGGAACGAUGGCAUCAGUUGGUUGAGGUUGCUGGGAGUGUGGUUCUCACUGAUGAUACAGAUGCUUUAAUUUGGCAACUAGAUAAUAAAGGAAUAUAUUCCACUAGCUCCCUCUACCAUAUAAUUAACUUUAGGGGGGUGCAACCAAUUUAG
rnacentral:rRNA from 1 species